ACGAAACUAGUUCUUCGCAUAAACAACUUUCGCUGCGACUCAAAACAAAUCCGGUCAUAUUUGACGGAGCAGGCGAAUGCCGACUUGUGGAAGAGUCGACAGAGUCAGUUAUGGAGAUACGUUGGUGUAAGUAUAACGACAAGACACCGACGCCGACCAUCGGCCGACUAGUCUGCAGACUGUGACGCGACUGACUUACAGCGAGUCGUCGCAGUGUGACAAGCUUUCGUCACGCCGACAAAACCAGUCUGCCGACCGUCGUCCGUGGCCAGUCGUCGUGAGAUCGGUCGCAGAGCGAAAACAUCGCACUGACAACGCGAUUGCCGAAGCAGCUACGCUUGUAUAUAUGGCUUAAUCGCGCUCAAAAUGAAUGGGAACACGAUUUAGUUGAAAUGCACGAUCUCCGGUAUAUCUCAGCUGGCGGUGAACGCGACGAAACGCGGACGGCGUCGGCAGUAGCUCUGUCUCAUCUUUCAGUGCGUUGCCUCUUUGGUGCUGCUACAAUUUCUUGCAGUGAAUGUGCAAAAUGACCAGAACAUGUAGACGCGGGCCGCAUUCGUAUCCAGCGUCUUCGAGAGUAACUCCUUCAUGAGGUUUUCGUAGCCAGGGUGUCGGAACGAAAUAUUUUUCGCUCUGGUUUUAGUAUCGUUCCACUGAAAAAAGUUCCGUUCCGG